GACGAACGCUGGCGGCGUGCUUAACACAUGCAAGUCGAACGGUGAAGCGCCUUCCUUUUUGGUGGGUGUGGAUGAGUGGCGAACGGGUGAGUAACACGUGAGUAACCUGCCCCCUUCUUCUGGAUAACCGCAUGAAAGUGUGGCUAAUACGGGAUAUUCUGGGUCUGUCGCAUGAUGGGUCUGGGAAAGAUAUUGUUUCGGUGGGGGAUGGGCUCGCGGCCUAUCAGCUUGUUGGUGGGGUGAUGGCCUACCAAGGCGGUGACGGGUAGCCGGCCUGAGAGGGUGGACGGUCACACUGGGACUGAGACACGGCCCAGACUCCUACGGGAGGCAGCAGUGGGGAAUAUUGCACGAUGGGCGCAAGCCUGAUGCAGCGACGCCGCGUGAGGGAUGGAGGCCUUCGGGUUGUGAACCUCUUUCGCCAGUGAAGCAGGCCUGCCUCGUUUGUGGGUGGGUUGACGGUAGCUGGAUAAGAAGCGCCGGCUAACUACGUG
rnacentral:rRNA from 1 species